ACCACAUAACUUUACCGCAUAACGAAGUAAGCACAUAACGAAGUUACCGCAUAACGAAGUUACCGCAUAACGAAGUUACCACAUAACGAAGUUACCGCAUCACCCGUUUCGUCUGUUUCCAUACGGCUAUUAGCCGGUAAAAAACACCCCAAACGGACGGGCUGUCAGCCGUGUAACGUACGUCCGUUUGUACGCUGAGUUCUGCCAAUUAUAGUUUCUACAGAAAUUCUUUACCAAAUCUGAAGUUAAACGAAAAAUCACGUUUAUAAUUUUAAAGAAUGAAGUAGUAAGAUACUGAACUUUAGAAGUACAUGGGAUUCUGCUGGAAAAUGCGAAUAUUUUUAUUUGUUAUGAAUUUCAUUCUGGAAUAAACGACGCCAUCUUUUACAAUUACAAGAUUCUAAUAAUGUUUCUUUGGCCUAUGAGUCAGUCAAUUGGAAAGAGUUUACUCUUAUAACAGUUUUUAACAGUUUUUAUUGUGGUAUUUUUCUUUAAUUUUUCAAAGUAAGGCAAUUUUGUUAGGCAUCUGGCUUGAUGAUAUAACUAGUAUGGGGUACAUAUUUAUUUUGGUUUCUUUAUAUCAAUGGUUUAUAUGAAUUAUGCAACUUUGCAAUGAUUUAUAGUCAUUCAUCAUCAUGAUGGUCUCACAGAAAUGGAGAAGGUUGCUCAGCCUACAAGGUUUUUACAAGAAGGUAAUGAUGAUGAGAUACAUGAUAUUAUGAUGAGAUCAUUAUAUUUUCUGAAAUAGAGGAUGAAGGAUUAGAUGAGAGGAUCAGUGAAGUUGAUAGCACAACUCCUUAUCAAAAAGCCCAGAGAAAACAAAAAGGCUUAGGAUGAUAUGAGAACAGAAAUGUUCACUAUAGAACUGAUCAUGGAAGUAGAGAUACUUGUAGCAUACUUCGUCAUGCAAGAACCAUGCAUAUGCAAAAUAAAAGGCAUUCUUAGUGAUUGUAGUGUGGACUGCGCAAUCUUCCUCAGAUUGUUCACCUAUUGCAGUUUGAAGAUACAAGCAGAGAGGAAUUUUCAAAUAAUGUCAUAUUUCUUUAAUCCUAUCCUUUCUGUUAUGCAAAAUAUAUGUAAUAAAUAAACCAUUGGGUGUGUAGUGGUGGUAUAUUGUUGUCGAUAUUGUUCUUGAAAAAACCUUUAAUGCAACCAUAACAAAACACCAUUAAUAUUAUAACUAUAACAUUUAAAACACGGCAUGUAGCUCUAUCACAUAUACCUAUGCUGUAUGGUACAUGGUGUA